GUAGGUGGCAAGCGUUGUCCGGAAUUAUUGGGCGUAAAGCGCGCGCAGGUGGGGGUUCUUUAAAGUCUGAUGUGAAAGCCCCCGGGCUCAACCGGGGAGGGUCAUUGGAAACUGGGGAACUUGAGUGCACGGAGAGGAAAGUGGAAUUCCACGUGUAGCGGUGAAAUGCGUAGAUAUGUGGAGGAACACCAGUGGCGAAGGCGACUUUCUGGCCUGUAACUGACACUGAGGCGCGAAAGCGUGGGGAGCAAACAGGAUUAGAUACCCUGGUAGUCCACGCCGUAAACGAUGAGUGCUAAGUGUUGGGGGGUUUCCGCCCCUCAGUGCUGCAGCUAACGCAUUAAGCACUCCGCCUGGGGAGUACGGUCGCAAAGACUG
rnacentral:rRNA from 1 species